GAUGAACGCUGGCGGCGUGCUUAACACAUGCAAGUCGAACGGGAAAUACUUUAUUGAAACUUUGGUGGAUUUAAUUUAUUUCUAGUGGCGGACGGGUGAGUAACGCGUGGGUAACCUGCCUUAUACUGGGGGAUAACAGCCAGAAAUGACUGCUAAUACCGCAUAAGCGCACAGAACCGCAUGGUUCCGUGUGAAAAACUCCGGUGGUAUAAGAUGGACCCGCGUUGGAUUAGCUAGUUGGCAGGGCAGCGGCCUACCAAGGCGACGAUCCAUAGCCGGCCUGAGAGGGUGAACGGCCACAUUGGGACUGAGACACGGCCCAGACUCCUACGGGAGGCAGCAGUGGGGAAUAUUGCACAAUGGGGGAAACCCUGAUGCAGCGACGCCGCGUGAAGGAAGAAGUAUCUCGGUAUGUAAACUUCUAUCAGCAGGGAAGAUAAUGACGGUACCUGACUAAGAAGCCC
rnacentral:rRNA from 1 species